rnacentral:rRNA from 1 species
AACGAACGCUGGCGGCAUGCCUAACACAUGCAAGUCGAACGAGACCUUCGGGUCUAGUGGCGCACGGGUGCGUAACGCGUGGGAAUCUGCCCUUAGGUACGGAAUAACUCAGGGAAACUUGAGCUAAUACCGUAUAAUGACUUCGGUCCAAAGAUUUAUCGCCUAAGGAUGAGCCCGCGUCGGAUUAGCUAGUUGGUGAGGUAAAAGCUCACCAAGGCGACGAUCCGUAGCUGGCUGAGAGGAUGAUCAGCCACACUGGGACUGAGACACGGCCCAGACUCCUACGGGAGGCAGCAGUGGGGAAUAUUGGACAAUGGGCGAAAGCCUGAUCCAGCAAUGCCGCGUGAGUGAUGAAGGCCUUAGGGUUGUAAAGCUCUUUUACCCGGGAUGAUAAUGACAGUACCGGGAGAAUAAGCCCCGGCUAACUCCGUGCCAGCCGCCGCGGUAAC